AUUGAACGCUGGCGGCAUGCCUUACACAUGCAAGUCGAACGGUAACGCGGGGCAACCUGGCGACGAGUGGCGAACGGGUGAGUAAUACAUCGGAACGUGCCCAGUAGUGGGGGAUAGCCCGGCGAAAGCCGGAUUAAUACCGCAUACGACCUAUGGGUGAAAGCGGGGGACCGCAAGGCCUCGCGCUAUUGGAGCGGCCGAUGUCAGAUUAGGUAGUUGGUGGGGUAAAGGCCUACCAAGCCUACGAUCUGUAGCUGGUCUGAGAGGACGACCAGCCACACUGGGACUGAGACACGGCCCAGACUCCUACGGGAGGCAGCAGUGGGGAAUUUUGGACAAUGGGCGAAAGCCUGAUCCAGCCAUGCCGCGUGCGGGAAGAAGGCCUCGGUUGUAACGAC
rnacentral:rRNA from 1 species